rnacentral:rRNA from 1 species
CCUAUGUCGGCGACCGGCGCACGGGUGCGUAACGCGUAUGCAACCUACCCAUUACAGGGGGAUAACACUGAGAAAUCGGUACUAAUACCCCAUAACAUCCAGGGAGGCAUCUUCUUGGGUUGAAAACUCCGGUGGUAAUGGAUGGGCAUGCGUUGUAUUAGUUAGUUGGUGGGGUAACGGCUCACCAAGACAACGAUACAUAGGGGGACUGAGAGGUUAACCCCCCACAUUGGUACUGAGACACGGACCAAACUCCUACGGGAGGCAGCAG